rnacentral:rRNA from 1 species
AACGAACGCUGGCGGCAGGCCUAACACAUGCAAGUCGAGCGAGGACUUCGGUCCUAGCGGCGGACGGGUGAGUAACGCGUGGGAACGUGCCCUUUGCUUCGGAAUAGCCCUGGGAAACUGGGAGUAAUACCGGAUGAGCCCUUUGGGGGAAAGAUUUAUCGGCGAAGGAUCGGCCCGCGUUGGAUUAGGUAGUUGGUGGGGUAAUGGCCUACCAAGCCGACGAUCCAUAGCUGGUUUGAGAGGAUGAUCAGCCACACUGGGACUGAGACACGGCCCAGACUCCUCCGGGAGGCAGCAGUGGGGAAUCUUAGACAAUGGGGGAAACCCUGAUCUAGCCAUGCCGCGUGAGCGAUGAAGGCCUUAGGGUUGUAAAGCUCUUUCAGCUGGGAAGAUAAUGACGGUACCAGCAGAAGAAGCCCCGGCUAACUCCGUG